GUGGUUUUAACAAUCCAGACAGACAAAUAGCAAUAAGGUGUUUAGGAAAACAUGACCUAAAACCUCCUUCAUAUAAGACAAAAAACAUGGGAACUCAUACUGAAUGGUCAAAUGUGUUCAAUAUGAAAAUUUGAGUUAAGAUGGUAAAAUCACAAAUCAGCCGUUAAUGUAAAUGGACUAUAAGUAUGACUUUUGAGCAAAUUUAAAGGGAAAUGACGGGGAAGGGGC
rnacentral:lncRNA from 1 species